rnacentral:rRNA from 1 species
CAUCCUCCAAGGCUAAAUACUCCUGACUGACCGAUAGUGAACCAGUACCGUGAGGGAAAGGCGAAAAGAACCCCGGCGAGGGGAGUGAAAAAGAACCUGAAACCGUGUACGUACAAGCAGUGGGAGCACAGGUUUACCUGUGUGACUGCGUACCUUUUGUAUAAUGGGUCAGCGACUUAUAUUCUGUAGCAAGGUUAACCGUAUAGGGGAGCCGGAGGGAAACCGAGUCUUAACCGGGCGUUAAGUUGCAGGGUAUAGACCCGAAACCCGGUGAUCUAGCCAUGGGCAGGUUGAAGGUUGGGUAACACUAACUGGAGGACCGAACCGACUAAUGUUGAAAAAUUAGCGGAUGACCUGUGGCUGGGGGUGAAAGGCCAAUCAAACCGGGAGAUAGCUGGUUCUCCCCGAAAGCUAUUUAGGUAGCGCCUCGUGAAUUCAUCUCCGGGGGUAGAGCACUGUUUCGGCUAGGGGGCCAUCCCGGCUUACCAACCCGAUGCAAACUGCGAAUACCGGAGAAUGUUAUCACGGGAGACACACGGCGGGUGCUAACGUCCGUCGUGAAGAGGGAAACAACCCAGACCGCCAGCUAAGGUCCCAAAGUCAUGGUUAAGUGGGAAACGAUGUGGGAAGGCCCAGACAGCCAGGAUGUUGGCUUAGAAGCAGCCAUCAUUUAAAGAAAGCGUAAUAGCUCACUGGUCGAGUCGGCCUGCGCGGAAGAUGUAACGGGGCUAAACCAUGCACCGAAGCUGCGGCAGCGAACGUAUCACCCAAGACAACUUUACGGAGUUGACGAUUGACGGAGCGAAGCGACGUCAAAGCGUUCAUUAAAGUCGAGUUGGCUUAGGGAUACGUUCGUUGGGUAGGGGAGCGUUCUGUAAGCCUGUGAAGGUGGCCUGUGAGGGUUGCUGGAGGUAUCAGAAGUGCGAAUGCUGACAUAAGUAACGAUAAAGCGGGUGAAAAGCCCGCUCGCCGGAAGACCAAGGGUUCCUGUCCAACGUUAAUCGGGGCAGGGUGAGUCGACCCCUAAGGCGAGGCCGAAAGGCGUAGUCGAUGGGAAACGGGUUAAUAUUCCCGUACUUGGUGUUACUGCGAAGGGGGGACGGAGAAGGCUAUGUUGGCCGGGCGACGGUUGUCCCGGUUUAAGCGUGUAGGUGUGUGUUCCAGGUAAAUCCGGUUCACUUUAACACUGAGGCGUGAUGACGAGGCACUACGGUGCUGAAGCAACAAAUGCCCUGCUUCCAGGAAAAGCCUCUAAGCAUCAGGUAACAUCAAAUCGUACCCCAAACCGACACAGGUGGUCAGGUAGAGAAUACCAAGGCGCUUGAGAGAACUCGGGUGAAGGAACUAGGCAAAAUGGUGCCGUAACUUCGGGAGAAGGCACGCUGACACGUAGGUGAAGUGAUUUACUCAUGGAGCUGAAGUCAGUCGAAGAUACCAGCUGGCUGCAACUGUUUAUUAAAAACACAGCACUGUGCAAACACGAAAGUGGACGUAUACGGUGUGACGCCUGCCCGGUGCCGGAAGGUUAAUUGAUGGGG